GACGGAGGAUGCAAGCGUUAUCCGGAAUGAUUGGGCGUAAAGCGUCUGCAGGUGGCAGUUCAAGUCUGCUGUCAAAGACCGGGGCUUAACUUCGGAAAGGCAGUGGAAACUGAACAGCUAGAGUAUGGUAGGGGCAGAGGGAAUUUCCGGUGUAGCGGUGAAAUGCGUAGAGAUCGGAAGGAACAUCAGUGGCGAAGGCGACACUCUGGUCUGACACUGACGCUGAGGUGCGAAAGCGUGGGUAGCAAACAGG
rnacentral:rRNA from 1 species